ensembl:lncRNA
UGAUGGUUUGAUGGCCAUCGUCUGAACUAGUUAUGGUUGCUGUCCCUUAGCAGGCAGGCAGCAGAUGCUAAUGAGUAUGUUCAGAGUGAGUGUCACCACUGUAGCUUCUUGUUGAUGGGCGCAGUUGAUGAUAGUGUUGACGAACUGACCUCUGUUUAUAACUCCUCUCUCCAAAACCACUCUGGAAACCACAGAGACGCAUAAAGAAUAACAUUCAAAGUGAAAUUGCAAUUCAUUGUGCUUAGGGAACAGAAAGAUUGUGAAUAAAUGAACCAAAGAUGGAAGUAAUGUCAGGCUGUGUGUCGGUUGUAUAUCAAUUCCAACUUUAAUAGACACACACACACACACACACCACAUACAUUUGCCAAACAUUUAUAUACAUUUGCCCACAGUGUAUUAAUAAUAAACAGCCGAGACCACUAGUGUUGCUUGUUGUACUUUCAGCUCUAUAUUGAGCACAAGCUUAGGGUGAUAGGUGUGUCUAAGAAUGACAGCGAGACACUUCCUCUUCGAUGGUAAAAGCGUUUUUUUUUUUUUUUGGCCAACCUCCCGCUUUAGAGGAAGAGAAGUGUACUUAGCAUAGAUGUGUGAGGAGAGAAAGUGUCACAUGUCUGCUUCAGAGCCUACUCAAAUGGUAGCGCGAAUCUAAAGAGUGACCCGGUGCUGUCGGGUUCGGGUCUCGGAUCAGUCUCAAAUCAUCAGCGUUUUCUGUGAAGUUGAUGGAGUAAUGACAAGGUGAAGAUCCACUCUGAUGUCUGCUGGUGGUUUGGGGAUGGAUGACUCGAUGGAGGAAACAAGGGCCGUACCAUUAAGGCAAUCGAAGGAAGGUUGUGUCCUCACGAGACAACCCGCGACGAAACGCUACAGUGAGAUUUUACGGGACUUCGAUAACUUGGAGCUGUCCUUAUGUUGCAGCCCGUCUCCGGAGGAGCUACUCGGAGACUCUGAUAUUCAGUCGCUCUCAGAGACAGUAGACACGACGUUGGAUGAUUUGUCUAGUGAAGACGUGGAAAGCACACUGGUCUGUCCUGAUGAAGAAGAAAAAGAUGGUGGCAUGUCGGGUACAUCCCUAGCGCAAUGCUUGAAAGAGAAAGAGAGAAGCGUUUGUUUGCGUGUGUGUGUGUGUGUGUGUGCUUGUUUUAUAAAUACAGCUACAUGUUCAAAGUCAUAAACAGGAUUCAAACGAAGCCAUGACUCACAGUUCG